rnacentral:rRNA from 1 species
GACGAACGCUGGCGGCGUGCUUAACACAUGCAAGUGGAGCGACGAACCAGGGCUUGCCCUGGGGCAGAGCCGCGAACGGGUGAGUAACACGUGGGUUACCUGCCCCGAUGACCGGGACAACCCGAGGAAACUCGGGCUAAUACCGGAUGUGUCCGAAAGGGGAAAGGAAGCUUCGGCCUCCGCAUCGGGAUGGGCCCGCGGCCCAUUAGCUUGUUGGUGAGGUAACGGCUCACCAAGGCUGCGANGGGUAGCUGGUCUGAGAGGACGAUCAGCCACACUGGGACUGAGACACGGCCCAGACUCCUACGGGAGGCGAGCAGUGGGGAAUCUUGCGCAAUGCGCGAAAGCGUGACGCAGCAACGCCGCGU